rnacentral:rRNA from 1 species
GAUGAACGCUAGCGGCAGGCCUAACACAUGCAAGUCGAGGGGUAGAAGUUUUCGGACUUUGAGACCGGCGCACGGGUGCGUAACGCGUAUGCAAUCUGCCUUGUACUGGGGGAUAGCCCAGAGAAAUUUGGAUUAAUACCCCAUAGUAUUUUCGGUUGGCAUCAACUGAUUAUUAAAGUUUUUCGGUACAAGAUGAGCAUGCGUCCCAUUAGCUAGUUGGUAUGGUAACGGCAUACCAAGGCUACGAUGGGUAGGGGUCCUGAGAGGGAGAUCGCCCACACGUGUACGGAGAAACGGACCAGACUCCUACGGGAGUCAGCAGUGAGGAAGAUUUGUCAAUGGUCGCAAGACUGAACCAGCCAUGCCGCGUGCAGGAUGAAGCAUCUAUGGUGUGUAAACUGCUUUUGUACGGGAAGAAACACUGCUACGUGUAGCAGCUUGACGGUACCGUAAGAAUAAGGAUCGGCUAACUCCGUGCCAGCCGCCGCUGUAAUAC